ACUGUGGACGGGGUCCCUGGGCUUUCCCCUAGGGUCCCAUCAGCUGCUUAUGUUCUACCUUCUGACGGAUCACAGGAGGAGCCUGCAGCGGAGGAGCCUCCUCCUCCUCAGCAUCAGACCUAAAGGGAGUGUCCUGCCUGAAGGACCGGCUCAAGGUCGCACUAACAGCUCUUGCUAACUCCUGUUCCAGGCUGUUUAUCUGGGCCUCCAAGUACCCUGCUUGCGCCUGGAGGUCUCUCACCCCCAGGUCCUGCUCAAAGCUGUGCACUUGGGCCCCCAGGCAUGCGGCUUGCUCCGGAAGGUCCCUUACCUGUGGCACUGAGCAUGUACUUCCUGCAGUGCAGUUAGAAAUGCCCAUCCGACUCUGCUUGCAAAGUUCCUUUAUUUAUAGGCACAGCUGCUUAAAGACUGUUACCGGAAAGGAAUCCUGAUCCAGACGCCAAGAGAGGGUUCUUGGACUCAUGCAAGAAAGACUUCAGUUCUCAGGUCCCUGGACCAUGAAGGGCCACAUCCAAGGAGCUACCCCAGGAGGCCUCUCAUUUGCAUUUGUCCCCGCUAAUGCAGGACAGAGAUCAUGGAAGUUGGGCCCGACUGGAUGAGAUUUGGGGGUCUUUGGAAGUGGAGAAUGUGUUUGCCCUGGGGAAGAGAGGUGAUGUCUAGGAGACCUCUUCACUCAGGGCAAGCUCUAUGACCUGCUUUGACUCCAGAAUGUGGUAGAAGUGGCAUCACAUAAAUUGCAGAGCCUAGGCUUCAAGAGACCUUGCAACUUGCCUCUCACUGACUUGAAGUGCUCCCAUCAGAGCAUCUUGUAAGGAGCAGGUGGAGCAUGUGGACAAGCCAUCCCCACCAGCCCCUGAGACAUGUGAGAGAGGCCAGAACAGGCCAUCCGGACCCCACUGUGCUGGUGGAUGAGACAGCAGAAGGAAUAUCAACCUACCAACAGAAUCCUGAGAAAUGCUCACUCUUACUUCAAGCUGCUGCAUUUUGAUGUUAUGAAACCAUAAAUAACUUAUGAAGUCAUCUUUGCUGACUUAAAGUUUUCCAUAACUUUAUUAUAACAUAUCAAAAUUAUGAAAAAUGUGAAAAGUAGAAAACUGAUGAAUUUUGCUUCUUCAUAUGGUCUUUAAGAAUCUCAAAGGCACUGAAGUUUUUUAUCUUUUCUGUCUUAGAAUAAAAAACCUUGAAUGAAAAUCUGCUUCUUGGAAAAGCAGCAAGGUUUAUGCAGAGGCAAUCUGGUAUUUGUGUGCACUGGCAGCUGAUCAUACCCAGCAUGCACGCACUCUCAGGGCAGAGUCUGAUGCCCCACAUAAUGGGGCAUGGUAAGGACUCCCAUGUCCUUGAGAUAAAAUGAUAAGGAAAAUACACACUGCUAUUAGAAUAACAGGCCCAGCUUCUGCACAUUUUAAUUCCCAAAGUUUUCAUGAAAGACAAUGAUUUUUUGGUACCAUGUUUAACUCUACAAGAAUCAGUAGUGAAAACUAAAAAUGAUACUUUGUGAAAGUUCAUUAAUUUUGUUUUCAGCCAGUGGUGGCCUUGGUCAGAUAGAAUCAAAUCUAUGAUACUUUUUAUCAGAAAUGCUUAUACUGUGUACAAACCCAAAGUGAUGGCUUUCAAAGAUUGAAUUUGAUUAUUUUCUGUAUGGUGCAGAUGAAAAAUUACUACACAGGAGAAGGUGGGUUGGAGGUGCUCACGAGUAACCAGGAAACAGUCUGAAGUUUUUCUGAUACUUCUCCUUGGUCCAACCAAAUGUGAGAUAUAAACACAAACUUGGGAUUCCGUUCUUA
rnacentral:lncRNA from 1 species